CGAACGCUGGCGGCAGGCCUAACACAUGCAAGUCGAGCGAACCCUUCGGGGUUAGCGGCGGACGGGUGAGUAACGCGUGGGAACAUGCCUUUCGGUUCGGAAUAGCCCCUGGAAACGGGGAGUAACACCGAAUACGCCCUUCGGGGGAAAGUUUACGCCGAGAGAUUGGCCCGCGCCUGAUUAGGUAGUUGGUGGGGUAACGGCCUACCAAGCCGACGAUCAGUACCUGGUUUGAGAGGAUGAUCAGGCACACUGGGACUGAGACACGGCCCAGACUCCUACGGGAGGCAGCAGUGGGGAAUCUUGGACAAUGGGGGCAACCCUGAUCCAGCCAUGCCGCGUGAACGAUGAAGGCCUUAGGGUUGUAAAGUUCUUUCGCCGGUGACGAUAAUGACGGUAGCCGGAGAAGAAGCCCCGGCUAACUCCGUGCCAGCAGCCGCGGUAAU
rnacentral:rRNA from 1 species